rnacentral:rRNA from 1 species
GUCCACGCCGUAAACGAUGAUAACUAGCUGUCCGGGCACUUGGUGUCUGGGUCGCGCAGCUAACGCAUUAAGUUAUCCGCCUGGGGAGUACGGUCGCAAGAUUAAAACUCAAAGGAAUUGACGGGGGCCUGCACAAGCGGUGGAGCAUGUGGUUUAAUUCGAAGCAACGCGCAGAACCUUACCUGGGCUAGACAACGUCGGACCGCCCCAGAAAUGGGGCUUUCCCGCAAGGGACUGGCGGUUCAGGUGCUGCAUGGCUGUCGU